rnacentral:rRNA from 1 species
CUUAACACAUGCAAGUCGAGGGGCAGCGGGGUAGUGCUUGCACUACUGCCUGGCGACCGUGCGCACGGGUCGAGUAACACUUAUGGAACCUGCCCGCAGCAGGGGGAUAAUCGGAAGAAAUUCCGUCUAAUACCGCGUAACAACGUUGGGAGGCAUCUCCCGAUGUUUAAAGAUUUAUCGGCUGCGGAUGGCCAUGCGGCGCAUUAGCUAGUCGGCGGGGUAACGGCCCACCGAGGCGACGAUGCGUAGGGGUUCUGAGAGGAAGGUCCCCCACACUGGUACUGACACACGGACCAGACUCCUACGGGAGGCAGCAGUGAGGAAUAUUGGUCAAUGGCCGAAAGGCUGAACCAGCCAAGUCUCGUGAGGGAAGACGGCCCUACGGGUUGUAAACCUCUUUUGUCGGGGAGCAAAGCGAACCACGUGUGGUUCAUUGAGAGUACCCGAAGAAAAAGCAUCGGCUAACUCCGUGCCAGCAGCCGCGGUAAUACGGAGGAUGCGAGCGUUAUCCGGAUUUAUUGGGUUUAAAGGGUGCGCAGGCGGAGGAGCAAGUCAGCGGUCAAAAUGCGGGGCUCAACCCCGUACUGCCGUAGAAAAUGCAUCCCUUGAGUGCGCGAGAAGUAUGCGGAAUGCAUGGUGUAGCGGUGAAAUGCAUAGAUAUCACGCAGAACUCAGAUUGCGAAGGCAGCAUACCGGCGCGCAACUGACGCUCAUGCAAGAAAGCGUGGGUAUCGAACAGGAUUAGAUACCCUGGUAGUCCAAGCAGUAA